AUAUCAAUAAGCGGAGGAAAAGAAACCAACGGGAUUCCUAGUAACGGCGAGUGAAGCGGCAAAAGCUCAAAUUUGAAAUCUGGCACCUUCGGUGUCCGAGUUGUAAUUUGAAGAAGGUAACUUUGGAGUUGGCUCUUGUCUAUGUUCCUUGGAACAGGACGUCACAGAGGGUGAGAAUCCCGUGCGAUGAGAUGCCCAAUUCUAUGUAAAGUGCUUUCGAAGAGUCGAGUUGUUUGGGAAUGCAGCUCUAAGUGGGUGGUAAAUUCCAUCUAAAGCUAAAUAUUGGCGAGAGACCGAUAGCGAACAAGUACAGUGAUGGAAAGAUGAAAAGAACUUUGAAAAGAGAGUGAAAAAGUACGUGAAAUUGUUGAAAGGGAAGGGCUUGAGAUCAGACUUGGUAUUUUGCGAUCCUUUCCUUCUUGGUUGGGUUCCUCGCAGCUUACUGGGCCAGCAUCGGUUUGGAUGGUAGGAUAAUGACUAAGGAAUGUGGCUCUACUUCGGUGGAGUGUUAUAGCCUUGGUUGAUACUGCCUGUCUAGACCGAGGACUGCGUCUUUUACUAGGAUGUUGCCAUAAUGACUAAGCCACCGUCUUGAAACC
rnacentral:rRNA from 1 species